CCCCAACUUGGGUAGACGAGCCCAAGUGGACUGGCCCCCGGGCAACAGAGACCCAGUGAGGGAAGAGCUCAGACCCUCUGAGUCUCCACCUCCUACUGGGCGGGGCUCCAUGCAGGGGCGUGGCCGGCUGGGGGGUAUCCAGUUGUAUUCAUGUCGGAUGCAAGUCUACUGCGGUCCUGGCAGUAAAAAUACCCGCUCAAGGGACACGGAUUUUGGAGAGCACGUGAUGGGACGGGAUGGAUGAGAGCUGGAUGCCGGACCUCUCAUUUACCGACCGUGUGACUUUGGGGAAGUCAUCUGAUAUCUCUGAGAUGUACGUCCUCUCUUUUCUAGACUGAUGACUCAACUGAGGACAAUUUUGCACACAGGGGACAUUUGGCGGUGUCUGGAGAUGUACUUUUGGCUGUCAGAACUUGGAGGGGAGGGUGCGACUGGUGUCUAGCGGGUAGAGGCCAGGGACGCUGCCACACGUCCCACAAGGCACAGGACAGCUCCUCACACAGUGGCCUCGUUCAGCCCGAAGUGUCAACACUGAGGAUGUAGAAACUGAUGUACGAAAGGGAUGGGAGAUCCGGAUCUUGGCAACCAUCUUGUGACCAUGAGGACAAAGAGCCGAUAUGCUGAGGAAGGUAGGACAGAAGUGUGGGAAGACCCCGAGUCCAUGGUGAUGUCACAUUGCUGCCACACCAACCCAAGGAUCUCAGGGCUCUGGAGAGCUUGUUCAUAUGAGACAAGAAACUGUCUUUAAAGCCUGAGAUGGAGUUUGUCGGGUGCUCUGUAAUUGCAGCCAAGGGCAUUCCCAUGGAUACCCAUAUCUCCCCGUUCGGAAUGGGGUCUGAUUCCCUCUCAUUUCCCCUGAGGUAAGCAGCAAACACAUUGUGUGGCCACCACGAAGAGCCAUUUUCCAGACCCUCAGAGUACAAACAUGAAUUGAAUCCAGUCUCUAACAUCACAACAACCAGAACCUAAGGGAAGAAACACGCAAAAUGGAUGUAUUCCUCAUGACUGCUACCUGCGUGUCAAGUUCUGUGCUGAGCACUUGACAUGGGACCACCCACUUGAGGUCAAAGCCGGUUGAAGAGAGCACCAGCCUUGCCGGAAAAUAGUGGUUCUGCUUCUUGUGCACGAUCAACCCUGGUCCACUCUGAGUCUAGGGGCCGGACCUCACGGGUGCGGCCACCCCGGGAGCCAACAGUAGGCUGUAGCCCCAAACCCUGACCCUUCCUCAUCUUCAACGAAGUGAGUGUGCGAGCCUCCGCUCCAACGAGGGGGAACCCCAGAAACCCCAGUUUAUGAAGACUUGAACCAAACAGGUUCCUCUCCUGAAGGGCAGAGGAACACGUGUCUGUUGGCCUCACAGCGUGCGUGUGGCAGGAAAGGUUAUAAAUAAACCGUCCUCCUUCCCUCCGUC